UACAGAGGGUGCAAGCGUUAAUCGGAAUUACUGGGCGUAAAGGGCGCGUAGGUGGUUGUUUAAGUAAGAUGUGAAAUCCCUGGGCUUAACCUAGGAACUGCGUCUUAAACUGGACAGCUUGAGUACAAUAGAGGGUAGUGGAAUUUCCGGUGUAGCGGUGAAAUGCGCAGAUAUCAGGAGGAACACCGGUGGCGAAGGCGGGCCUCUGGGCCGAUACUGACGCUGAGGAGCGAAAGCGUGGGGAGCGAACAGG
rnacentral:rRNA from 1 species